UACGAAGGUGGCAAGCGUUACUCGGAAUUACUAGGCGUAAAGGGCAGGUAGGUGGUUUGGUUAGUCUGUUGUGAAAGCUCCUUGCUUAACGGGGAGAGGUCAACAGAUACUGCCAGACUUGAGUAUGGGAGAGGGUACUGGAAUUCCUGGUGUAGCGGUGAAAUGCGCAGAGAUCAGGAGGAACACCGAUGGCGAAAGCAGGUACCUGGACCAUUACUGACACUCAGCUGCGAAAGCUAGGGGAGCAAACAGG
rnacentral:rRNA from 1 species